GAACUGCGAUAAGUAAUGUGAAUUGCAGAAUUCAGUGAAUCAUCGAGUCUUUGAACGCACAUUGCGCCCCCUGGCAUUCCGGGGGGCAUGCCUGUCCGAGCGUCAUUGCUGCCCUUCAAGCCCGGCUUGUGUGUUGGGUCGUCGUCCCCCUCGGGGGACGGGCCCGAAAGGCAGCGGCGGCACCGUGUCCGGUCCUCGAGCGUAUGGGGCUUUGUCACCCGCUCGAUUAGGGCCGGCCGGGCGCCAGCCGGCGUCUCCAACUUUAUUUUUCUCAGGUUGACCUCGGAUCAGGUAGGGAUACCCGCUGAACUUAAGC
rnacentral:misc_RNA from 1 species